rnacentral:ncRNA from 2 species
UCGACACGGUCAGGAGAGCGUCUGGCGCGUGAAUCCACGCAGCAGACCACCGAAGGCGCACCGCAAGGGUAACGCUCAGGUACCAGGGACUGACAAGCGCCG